GUGGUAGGCUGGGGGAGCCGAUGGCAUCGGCUGAGAGGAGACUGAACUAUGUCUCGACUCCUGGAACCUGCUCCAGAUAAUUCUGGCGAAGGAAAGUCAAGAUUUAUUUUC
rnacentral:ncRNA from 2 species